rnacentral:rRNA from 1 species
UGAAUCUGCCGGAACUAACCGGUAAGGCUAAAUACGUCCUAUGACCGAUAGUGAACUAGUACCGUGAGGGAAAGGUGAAAAGAACCCCGAGAGGGGAGUGAAAUAGACCUGAAACCGUGUACUUACAAGGGGUCGGAGCGGAAUUUAUUCCGUGACGGCAUGCCUAUUGAAGAAUGAGCCGGCGAGUGUGUGUAUCUUGCGUAGCUAAGCCCUUCCGGGGCGGAGCUUAAGGGAAACCGAGCGUGAAUAGCGCAUUAGUAGGAUACAUACGACCCGAAGCCAGAUGAGCUUGCCAUGAGCAGGGUGAAGUUUGUCGAAAGACAGAUGGAGGCCCGAACCCGUAGGUCGUACAACGCCUUGGGAUGACUUGUGGCAAGGAGUGAAAAGCUAAUCGAAUCUGGGAAUAGCUGGUUCUCUCCGAAACAGCUUUUGGGCUGGCGUCGCCAUAUGUGCACGAGGGGGUAGAGCACUGGAAGGGACCAACAGGGAGAAAUCUCGUGGUUCCUAUCAAACUCCGAAUACCUCGUGCUCGGGCGGCAGUUAGAAGGUGGGGGCGAAGCUCCAUCGAUCGAGAGGGGAAGAGCCCUGAUCGCCACUUAAGGCCCCUAAAUCGACAUUCAGUACAUCCACAAGGAAGUGAGGACUCAUUGACAGUGAGGAUGUUGGCUUAGAAGCAGCCACCAUUUAAAGAAAGCGUAACAGCUCACUCAUCGAGAGUCCUUGCGCCGAAGAUGAUCGGGGUUAAAUGUCGUGCCGAAAUUGCGGGUUUGUACCUAUUUAGAUAGAUACAAGCGGUAGGAGAGCGUUCUGUUCGCGCUGAAGCUUAAGGGGUAACCCAAGGUGGAGCGUACAGAAGUGAGAAUGCCGGUACAAGUAACCACAAUGCGGGUGAGAACCCCGCACGUCGAAAGACCGAGGUUUCCUCAGCUAUGGUGAUCAACUGAGGGUUAGUCGGGCCUAAGGGGAUGGCGAGAGCCGCACCCGAUGGACACAGGGUUAAUAUUCCCUGACCGGCUCUCAAGGCUAUGGAGUGACGGACUGCUGUAUGUGCCGCCCAUUAUUGGAUUUGGGUCGGCGUAGUGAGGGCGUGUAUUAGGGAAAUCCGGUACACAUUAUCCCAAGCUAUGACGCAAUUUCCUCCUACGGGGGGAGAGAGGGUACAAAGCGCGGUUUCAAGAAAAUCUUCUACGCAUUCAACUUGAGAGCCGACCGUACCGCAUACCGACACAGGUGGUCAGCUCGAGUAGAGUAAGACGAACGAGUAAGAUGUCCUCAAGGAACUCGGCAAAAAAGCGGCCGUAAGUUAGCGAUAAGGCCUGCCCUGUACCCGCAAGGGUGCGGGGCCGCAGUGAAAGUUUUUCUGGCAACUGUUUACCAAAAACACAGCUCCCUGCAAACUCGUAAGAGGAAGUAUAGGGGGUGACACCUGACCAAUGCCGGAAGGUCAACCACGGUGGGUAUCUUUCGCAAGAAAGCUGCUGGACUGUGUAAGCCCCGGUGAAUGUCGGCGAUAACUAUGAACGAUUGUAGUUAUAAAAUUCGGCCAUAUGCUGGGAUAACCGUUGUAUCUUCAAGUACUCGUCGAAAGGCAGUGAAAAUCUUGAAGUGCGGUCAAUCAGCAGGAAAGGCUCUCAAAGUCGGGUGCUAUAAUUGGACGUAUGAACACACCGCCAAGUAUUGGAUGGUAUUUGUCCGGAUUCAGCGAUGGAGAAGGAAGCUUCAAUGUUUCUCUCCGUCAAAGACCGGAUCAUAAACUCCACUGGCAAGUAGUUCUUACCUUCAAUGUAGCCCAACGAGACGUCACAAAUCUUCUGCUUCUGCAAAAAUAUUUGCAAUGCGGAAGGUUGCAAAGACGAAGUGAUGGGGUCCAUUACUUUGUUGUGACGAAUUACGUCGAGCUCGUAGAAAAGGUAUUCCCGUUCUUUGAACGGUUUCCUUUUCAAUCCGAAUCCAAAAUCAGAAACUUCGCGUUGUUCAAACAAAUCGCAACAAUCGUAUAUUCAGGCGAGCAUCUUGCUCGCGAGGGAUUUAUGAAAGUUGUUGAAUUACGAGAAAAACUAAACGAAGGAAAAGGAAGGAAACGGAAAUACGAGAAACAAGAUGUAGUAGAUAAUUUGAGAGAAUCCUCAGAGACUAUACGCCGAACUCGACUCUCUUAAUUGAGAACAACGAGAUGAUAUAGUCCGACCUUUGUAGCGAUGCAGAGAAAUGCUUGCAGCUACCAAUAGCAAGCUAAAUAACAUAGGAGAAUCGUCCUAAGGUAGCGUAAUUCCUUGUCGGGUAAGUUCCGACGUGCACGAAUGGUGUAAUGACUGGAAAACUGUCUCGAGGACUCGCUCGGUGAAAAUGCACUUCCGGUGAAGAUGCCGGAUACCCAUAGUUAGACGAAAAGACCCCAGGAGCUUUACUACAGCUUCGUAUUGGCAGUACGUGCUGCAUGCGUAGCAUAGAUGGGAGGCUUUGAAGCAUCGCUUUCGGGUGGUGUGGAGCCAACAAUGAAAUACCAUUCUUGCUGUGUGUACUGUCUAACCCCGUUGGGAUCCAACGGGGGACCGUGCGUGGCGGGUAGUUUUGGUGGGGCGCUAUCCUCCUAAAGAGUAACGGAGGAGUCUAUUAAGGUUCUCUAGCCGCGAAUGGAAACCGUGGCGAUAGUGUAAUGGCAUAAGAGAGCUUAACUG